CAUGGAUGGCCUAAUGAUGAUGUCUGUGAGAACUGCAAUGGCCUACCUGCAAACAGCUUUCCUUACAUUGACCAGUUUCUAGAGUGCUUUUUCCAGGCAUCUGCAGAUACAUUCAUUUGAGGAAUGAAUCCUUCUCACUGGAGACCAUAGAGGGGACCUGCAUAUCAAUAAUAAACGUCACUUCAAGAUAUCAAAGCAAAAUAUCAAAGUGAGAAUGGAAUAAAUUUAUUAGGACA